CCUACGGGAGGCAGCAGUGAGGAAUAUUGGUCAAUGGCCGUAAGGCUGAACCAGCCAAGUCGCGUGAAGGAAGAAGGAUCUAUGGUUUGUAAACUUCUUUUAUAGGGGAAUAAAGGUAUUCACGUGUGGAUCUUUGCAUGUACCCUAUCAAUAAGCAUAGGCUAACUCCGUGCCAGCAGCCGCGGUAAUACGGAGGAUGCGAGCGUUACCCGGAUUUAUUGGGUUUAAAGGGUACGUAGGGUGUUUUUUAAGUCAGGGGUGAAAGUUUGUGGCUCAACCAGAGAAUUGCCGUUGAAACUGGGAGGCUGGAGUGUGUUAGAGGCGAGUGGAAUGCGUUGUGUAGGAGUGAAAUCCUUAGAUAUCACGCAGAACCCCGAUUGCGAAGGCUACCAGCCAGGCCAUGACUGACGCUGAUGCGCGAAAGCGUGGGGAGCAAACAGGAUUAGAUACCCCAGUAGUC
rnacentral:rRNA from 1 species